UACGUAGGGUGCAAGCGUUAAUCGGAAUUACUGGGCGUAAAGCGUGCGCAGGCGGUUAUGCAAGACAGAUGUGAAAUCCCCGGGCUCAACCCGGGAACUGCAUUUGUGACUGCAUAGCUAGAGUGCGGCAGAGGGAGAUGGAAUUCCGCGUGUAGCAGUGAAAUGCGUAGAUAUGCGGAGGAACACCGAUGGCGAAGGCAAUCUCCUGGGCCUGCACUGACGCUCAUGCACGAAAGCGUGGGGAGCAAACAGG
rnacentral:rRNA from 1 species